GGAUGAACGCUAGCUACGGGCUUAACACAUGCAAGUCGAGGGGCAGCAUGGUCUUAGCUUGCUAAGGCCGAUGGCGACCGGCGCACGGGUGAGUAACGCGUAUCCAACCUGCCUUACACUCUUGGACAGCCUUCUGAAAGGGAGAUUAAUACAAGAUGUUAUCAUGAGUAAGCAUUUUCGCAUGAUUAAAGGUUUACCGGUGUAAGAUGGGGAUGCGUUCCAUUAGAUAGUAGGCGGGGUAACGGCCCACCUAGUCUUCGAUGGAUAGGGGUUCUGAGAGGAAGGUCCCCCACAUUGGAACUGAGACACGGUCCAAACUCCUACGGGAGGCAGCAGUGAGGAAUAUUGGUCAAUGGACGAGAGUCUGAACCAGCCAAGUAGCGUGAAGGAUGAAGGUUCUAUGGAUUGUAAACUUCUUUUAUACGGGAAUAAACGAAUCCACGUGUGGAUUUUUGCAUGUACCGUAUGAAUAAGGAUCGGCUAACUCCGUGCCAGCAGCCGCGGUAAUACGGAGGAUCCGAGCGUUAUCCGGAUUUAUUGGGUUUAAAGGGAGCGUAGAUGGGUUGUUAAGUCAGUUGUGAAAGUUUGCGGCUCAACCGUAAAAUUGCAAUUGAUACUGGCAGUCUUGAGUACAGUUGAGGUAGGCGGAAUUCGUGGUGUAGCGGUGAAAUGCUUAGAUAUCACGAAGAACUCCGAUUGCGAAGGCAGCUUACUAACCUGUAACUGACAUUGAUGCUCGAAAGUGUGGGUAUCAAACAGGAUUAGGUACCCUGGUAGUCCACACGGUAAACGAUGAAUACUCGCUGUAGGCGAUAUACAGUCUGCGGCCAAGCGAAAGCAUUAAGUAUUCCACCUGGGGAGUACGCCGGCAACGGUGAAACUCAAAGGAAUUGACGGGGGCCCGCACAAGCGGAGGAACAUGUGGUUUAAUUCGAUGAUACGCGAGGAACCUUACCCGGGCUUAAAUUGCAACCGAAUAUGGCGGAAACGCUAUAGCUAGCAAUAGCGGUUGUGAAGGUGCUGCAUGGUUGUCGUCAGCUCGUGCCGUGAGGUGUCGGCUUAAGUGCCAUAACGAGCGCAACCCUUGCCGAUAGUUACUAACAGGUCAUGCUGAGGACUCUGUCGGGACUGCCAUCGUAAGAUGUGAGGAAGGUGGGGAUGACGUCAAAUCAGCACGGCCCUUACGUCCGGGGCUACACACGUGUUACAAUGGGGGGUACAGAGGGCUGCUACCACGCAAGUGGAUGCCAAUCCCAAAAACCUCUCUCAGUUCGGAUUGAAGUCUGCAACCCGACUUCAUGAAGCUGGAUUCGCUAGUAAUCGCGCAUCAGCCACGGCGCGGUGAAUACGUUCCCGGGCCUUGUACACACCGCCCGUCAAGCCAUGGGAGCCGGGGGUACCUGAAGUGCGUAACCGCAAGGAGCGCCCUAGGGUAAAACUGGUGACUGGGGCUA
rnacentral:rRNA from 1 species